UAGUUCGGAUUGUAGGCUGAAACUCGCCUACAUGAAGCUGGAAUUGCUAGUAAUCACAGGUCAGCAUACUGUGGUGAAUACGUUCCCGGGCCUUGUACACACCGCCCGUCACACCAUGAGAGUUGAGAAUACCCGAAGCCCAUGUCAAAGUGGUCGAAGGUAGGCUUGAUGAUUGGGGUGAAGUCGUAACAAGGUAAC
rnacentral:rRNA from 1 species